UCCCUGGCUCAGAGGGUAAAGCGUCUGCCUGCAAUGCAGGAAACCUGGGUUCGAUUCCUGGGUCAGGAA
rnacentral:tRNA from 1 species